rnacentral:rRNA from 1 species
UACAGAGACUGCAAGCGUUAUUCGGAUUCACUGGGCGUAAAGGGUGCGCAGGCGGUUGGGUGUGUCAGAUGUGAAAUCCCGAGGCUUAACCUCGGAACUGCGUCUGAAACUACUCGACUAGAGUACUGGAGAGGGAAACGGAAUUCACGGUGUAGCAGUGAAAUGCGUAGAUAUCGUGAGGAACACCAGAGGCGAAGGCGGUUUCCUGGACAGUUACUGACGCUCAGGCACGAAAGCGUGGGGAGCGAACAGG